rnacentral:rRNA from 1 species
ACAGAGGGGGCAAGCGUUGUUCAGAAUUACUGGGCGUAAAGGGCGCGUAGGCGGCCUGUUAAGUCGAACGUGAAAUCCCCGGGCUCAACCCGGGAACUGCGUCCGAGACUGGCAGGCUUGAAUCCGGGAGAGGGAUGUGGAAUUCCAGGUGUAGCGGUGAAAUGCGUAGAUAUUGGGAGGAACACCGGUGGCGAAGGCGGCUACCUGGACCGGUUCUGACGCUGAUGCGCGAAAGCGUGGGGAGCAAACAGGA